rnacentral:rRNA from 1 species
GUAGGUGGCAAGCGUUGUCCGGAAUUAUUGGGGCGUAAAGCGCGCGCAGGCGGUCCUUUAAGGUCUGAUGUGAAAGCCCACGGGCUCAACCGUGGAGGGUCAUUGGAAACUGGAGGACUUGAGUACAGAAGAGGAAAGCGGAAUUCCACGUGUAGCGGUGAAAUGCGUAGAGAUGUGGAGGAACACCAGUGGCGAAGGCGGCUUUCUGGUCUGUAACUGACGCUGAGGCGCGAAAGCGUGGGGAGCAAACAGGAUUAGAUACCCUGGUAGUCCACGCCGUAAACGAUGAGUGCUAAGUGUUAGGGGGUUUCCGCCCCUUAGUGCUGCAGCUAACGCAUUAAGCACUCCGCCUGGGGAGUACGGCCGCAAAGGCUG